GCGGCGGCGGCGCGCGCCAGCCGGCCGACCGCAGGCGAGUCAGCCGACAUAGCAGGUCCUACUCUUCCGACUCCAAGUCCGGCUCGUUCUCGCGCUCGCGCUCGCGCUCGCUCAGCACGAGCGUGUCAUCGCGCUCGUCCGGCUCCUCGUCCGGCUCCAGUCGGUCACGCUCGCGCUCCGUGUCGUACGAGAGGAGAGUGCGACGUCCGGCGGGGAGACGGGCG